rnacentral:misc_RNA from 1 species
GAUGAAGAACGCAGCGAAAUGCGAUACUUGGUGUGAAUUGCAGAAUCCCGUGAACCAUCGAGUCUUUGAACGCAAGUUGCGCCCGAAGCCAUUAGGCCUAGGGCACGCCUGCCUGGGCGUCACACGUCGUUGCCCCCCCAUCUACUCCUUCGGGAUUGCGGGGGGCGGAUGAUGGCCUCCCGUGCGCCUUGUCGCGCGGUUGGCAUAAAUGCCAAGUCCUCGGCGACGCACGCCACGACAAUCGGUGGUUGCGAAACCUCGGUUGCCCGUCGUGUGCGGUCGUCGCGCAUCGAGGGCUCGAAAAAAUUGUCGAGCUCCGGCUCGGCUUUCAACGCGACCCCAGGUCAGGCGGGGUUACCCGCUGAAUUUAAGCAUAUCAAUAAGCGGAGGA